rnacentral:rRNA from 1 species
GACGAACGCUGGCGGCGUGCUUAACACAUGCAAGUCGAACGAUGAACUUGGAGCUUGCUCUGGGGGAUUAGUGGCGAACGGGUGAGUAACACGUGAGUAACCUGCCCUGGACUCUGGAAUAACUUCGAGAAAUCGGAGCUAAUACCGGAUAGGACCUUGCACCGCAUGGUGUGGGGUGGAAAGUUUUUCGGUUUGGGAUGGACUCGCGGCCUAUCAGCUUGGUGGUGAGGUAAUGGCUCACCAAGGCGUCGACGGGUAGCCGGCCUGAGAGGGUGACCGGCCACACUGGGACUGAGGCACGGCCCAGACUCCUACGGGAGGCAGCAGUGGGGAAUAUUGCACAAUGGGCGCAAGCCUGAUGCAGCAACGCCGCGUGCGGGAUGACGGCCUUCGGGUUGUAAACCGCUUUUAGUAGGGAAGAAGCCUUCGGGUGACGGUACCUGCAGAAAAAGGACCGGCUAACUACGUGCCAGCCGCCGCCGUAAAAC